AGUAAGGAGCAGCCACAAGUCUAUCAACAGAGCUGGGACUUCAGCUUCUGAAACACCACCCAUAAGCUGAGUUUUUUUUUCUCUAUAGCCUUGUCCAAAUAUUCCCCAAAUGGAAGUUAAAGAAAAGAGAUUCCAGUGUCUUACAUAGAAUAUCUCCAUUCUGUAUGUGCCCUUUGCUGUAGAAUUUGCUUUAUCAUGACCCUUAUAGGGGUGAACUUGAAGUCUAUGGCAACUUCAGAAAUCAGAAGGGCAGGCAAUUGGGGGAGAAAAUAAAUGCAAAAUGAAGGUAAAUAUAGAUAAACAGGAUCUUACAGGACAAAUGGAACACUCAAGGAUAAACUGACACUCACAAGGAUAAUCUUUAAUCCAGAUCUGUCAAUGCAUAAAACUCCAACUAUGUUCACUAGGAAAUACAGAAAUCUCCAAGGACCUAAACAGAAGCAAACAAACAAGUUGAAACUGGAGCAGACAGCUGCAAUUGGUUAGCCCAUCAAAGGUGGUAGAUUUCUCAGGGACACACAAUAUACUACCCUUACAGAACCUGAAUGCACAGCAAAGUCAGAAAGCUCAACCUGAAAACCCUAUGUUCUUUAACUCUCAUGACAAGAGAAAUUGAUUUCAGGAUGGUAGCAACCCAAGAAACAAGCAGAAUCCACUACAAAUCCUCUCUGAUGGAAAAAGUAGCCAAGAAAGGCCUUGACAUAACAGAGAACAAUAUAAGAAAAAUAUAAGCCCAUGAUUAAA